AUACGGAGGAUCCGAGCGUUAUCCGGAUUUAUUGGGUUUAAAGGGUGCGCAGGCGGCCAUUUAAGUCAGCGGUUAAAUCGUGGGGCUCAACCCCAUUCUGCCGUUGAUACUGGGUGGCUUGAUUGCGGUCGAGGUUGGCGGAAUUCGUUGUGUAGCGGUGAAAUGCAUAGAUAUGACGAAGAACACCGAUUGCGUAGGCAGCUGACCAGACCGCAAAUGACGCUCAUGCACGAAAGUGCGGGGAUCGAACAGGAUUAGAUACCCUGGUAAUCCGCACAGUAAACGAUGAAUACUUGUUUUCGGCGAUAUAAUGUCGGAGGCAAAGCGAAAGCGAUAAGUAUUCCACCUGGGGAGUACGCCGGCAACGGUGAAACUCAAAGGAAUUGACGGGG
rnacentral:rRNA from 1 species